GCCUGGGUGGCUCAGUCGGUUAAGCAUCUGACUUUGGCUCAGGUCACGAUCUCACGGUUUGUGAGUUCGAGCCCCACAUCGGGCC
rnacentral:tRNA from 1 species